UACGUAGGGCGCAAGCGUUGUCCGGAAUUAUUGGGCGUAAAGAGCUCGUAGGCGGCUUGUCACGUCGGUUGUGAAAGCCCGGGGCUUAACCCCGGGUCUGCAGUCGAUACGGGCAGGCUAGAGUGUGGUAGGGGAGAUCGGAAUUCCUGGUGUAGCGGUGAAAUGCGCAGAUAUCAGGAGGAACACCGGUGGCGAAGGCGGAUCUCUGGGCCGAUACUGACGCUGAGGAGCGAAAGCGUGGGGAGCGAACAGG
rnacentral:rRNA from 1 species